AGACACGGCCCAGACUCCUACGGGAGGCAGCAGUAGGGAAUCUUCCACAAUGGGCGAAAGCCUGAUGGAGCAACGCCGCGUGAGUGAAGAAGGUUUUCGGAUCGUAAAACUCUGUUGUAAGGGAAGAACAAGUACAGUAGUAACUGGUUGUACCUUGACGGUACCUUAUUAGAAAGCCACGGCUAACUACGUGCCAGCAGCCGCGGUAAUACGUAGGUGGCAAGCGUUGUCCGGAAUUAUUGGGCGUAAAGCGCGCGCAGGUGGUCCUUUAAGUCUGAUGUGAAAGCCCACGGCUCAACCGUGGAGGGUCAUUGGAAACUGGGGGACUUGAGUGCAGAAGAGGAAAGUGGAAUUCCAAGUGUAGCGGUGAAAUGCGUAGAGAUUUGGAGGAACACCAGUGGCGAAGGCGACUUUCUGGUCUGUAACUGACACUGAGGCGCGAAAGCGUGGGGAGCAAACAGGAUUAGAUACCCUGGUAGUCCACGCCGUAAAC
rnacentral:rRNA from 1 species